rnacentral:rRNA from 1 species
GGAAGGUCCGGGCGUUAUCCGGAUUUAUUGGGUUUAAAGGGAGCGUAGGCCGGAGAUUAAGCGUGUUGUGAAAUGUAGAUGCUCAACAUCUGCACUGCAGCGCGAACUGGUUUCCUUGAGUACGCACAAAGUGGGCGGAAUUCGUGGUGUAGCGGUGAAAUGCUUAGAUAUCACGAAGAACUCCGAUUGCGAAGGCAGUUCACUGGAGCGCAACUGACGCUGAAGCUCGAAAGUGCGGGUAUCGAACAGGAUUAGAUACCCUGGUAGUCCGCACGGUAAACGAUGGAUGCCCGCUGUUGGUCUGAAUAGGUCAGCGGCCAAGCGAAAGCAUUAAGCAUCCCACCUGGGGAGUACGCCGGCAACGGUGAAACUCAAAGGAAUUGACGGCCGUCAAUUCCUUUGAGUUUGGUAUUACCGCGGCUG